rnacentral:ncRNA from 1 species
AUUCUCAGGGCAGGGCGAAAUUCCCUACCGGUGGUAAAUAUGUUUAAACAUAAAGCCCACGAGCGUUUGCCUUUAUAGGCAAAGUCAGCAGAUUUGGUGUAAUUCCAAAGCCGACAGUAAAAGUCUGGAUGAAAGAGAAU